rnacentral:tRNA from 1 species
GGGCCCGUGGCCAAGCCAGGAUAAGGCGCCUGCCUUCUAAGCCGGAGAUCGAGGGUUCGAAUCCCUCCGGGCCCGCCA